rnacentral:lncRNA from 1 species
UGUCUGUACCAGGAGGCCUUCCGUACUGGAUUUUGGCUCCCGUUGCCACCCUUCAUUGUUGCUCUCUUUCAUUUUCUGAACAUUUCUCUAGUUUCCGUCGUCUCGAACUCCUUUAGGUUUUUGAUAGGGUUUCUUUCCCUUUGUUGUUUAGCUGAAGUUCGACCGACUCUUCUUUUGUUUAGGAACUUCUACACGUUCAAGCGCCAUCCCUCAGCAAAGGAUUGGUGGUACUUCUCCCCUC